rnacentral:tRNA from 1 species
CGGCGAGCCGGUCGGGGUUGGCGGGGUCGGCCACCGACAGGCCGUCGACCUCCAGGGCGACCGGGCCCGGGUGCGGGUCCCGCUCGGGGA